ACGGAAAAAACACACACUUCUACUAAGUCACUGUGUAUUAAGGUACAUGUCAACUCUUUAACUGUCGAAUUUCGUUAGUUUCGGGGCUUCGGGAAGGGC
rnacentral:misc_RNA from 1 species